AUGAAGGUGGAGAAGGUGAAGUUCGAGGCGGUGAGGUUGACGGUGUAGGAGGUGGAGAAGAAGGUGUAGUUGGAGGUGGUGAAGUUGAUGGUGUAGAAGGUGAAGUUUGAGGUGCUGAAGUUGAUGGCGUAGAACGUGAAGUUGGAGGCGGUGUGGUUGAUGGUGUAGAAGGCGGAGUUGCAACAAAAGGAGGAGAAGGAGAUGGUGGAGGUUCUGAUGGAGCUGAAGGGGUGGGAGGGUCCCCUGGAUUGGCAUUGGGCUGUGUGGGUGG
rnacentral:lncRNA from 1 species